rnacentral:lncRNA from 1 species
AUAUCAUUUGCCUAGUGAUCGAAGUGGCUCAAAAUCAACGGCUGAAAAUAAAAAUCUUACAAAAUAUAAUAAUAUGACAUUAAAAUUUUAGAUCAAACAUAUUGAUCUUAUUUUAUAUAGUAUAAAAAAUUUUCUAUCAAAAUUUUAUCUGAUUUGGAUAUUUCUAUACUGUUAAACUUGCAAACGGCUCACCACGACCAUUAAAAUUAUUGAUUUUGAGCCCCUUCGAUCACUAGGCAAAUGAUAUCGAAAUAUCACAAAAUUUAUUUUCUAAGUACUUCAAAUACUCUAGAUCAAGUUUAACGGAACCGAUCGUUGAUUCGAAAGUCCCAAUAUCGAAAACGACUUAGAAGCACAGAAGGCUCCGUACUUUCAGAAGUAUACCAGCUCUCUCUCUCUCUCUCUCUCUCUAUAUAU